GUAUCUCAUCUACAAAAUUCAUCCGGAAGC
rnacentral:piRNA from 1 species